GAUGAACGCUGGCGGCGUGCCUAAUACAUGCAAGUCGAGCGAACGGACGAGAAGCUUGCUUCUCUGAUGUUAGCGGCGGACGGGUGAGUAACACGUGGAUAACCUACCUAUAAGACUGGGAUAACUUCGGGAAACCGGAGCUAAUACCGGAUAAUAUUUUGAACCGCAUGGUUCAAAAGUGAAAGACGGUCUUGCUGUCACUUAUAGAUGGAUCCGCGCUGCAUUAGCUAGUUGGUAAGGUAACGGCUUACCAAGGCAACGAUGCAUAGCCGACCUGAGAGGGUGAUCGGCCACACUGGAACUGAGACACGGUCCAGACUCCUACGGGAGGCAGCAGUAGGGAAUCUUCCGCAAUGGGCGAAAGCCUGACGGAGCAACGCCGCGUGAGUGAUGAAGGUCUUCGGAUCGUAAAACUCUGUUAUUAGGGAAGAACAUAUGUGUAAGUAACUGUGCACAUCUUGACGGUACCUAAUCAGAAAGCCACGGCUAACUACGUGCCAGCAGCCGCGGUAAUACGUAGGUGGCAAGCGUUAUCCGGAAUUAUUGGGCGUAAAGCGCGCGUAGGCGGUUUUUUAAGUCUGAUGUGAAAGCCCACGGCUCAACCGUGGAGGGUCAUUGGAAACUGGAAAACUUGAGUGCAGAAGAGGAAAGUGGAAUUCCAUGUGUAGCGGUGAAAUGCGCAGAGAUAUGGAGGAACACCAGUGGCGAAGGCGACUUUCUGGUCUGUAACUGACGCUGAUGUGCGAAAGCGUGGGGAUCAAACAGGAUUAGAUACCCUGGUAGUCCACGCCGUAAACGAUGAGUGCUAAGUGUUAGGGGGUUUCCGCCCCUUAGUGCUGCAGCUAACGCAUUAAGCACUCCGCCUGGGGAGUACGACCGCAAGGUUGAAACUCAAAGGAAUUGACGGGGACCCGCACAAGCGGUGGAGCAUGUGGUUUAAUUCGAAGCAACGCGAAGAACCUUACCAAAUCUUGACAUCCUUUGACAACUCUAGAGAUAGAGCCUUCCCCUUCGGGGGACAAAGUGACAGGUGGUGCAUGGUUGUCGUCAGCUCGCGUCGUGAGAUGUUGGGUUAAGUCCCGCAACGAGCGCAACCCUUAAGCUUAGUUGCCAUCAUUAAGUUGGGCACUCUAAGUUGACUGCCGGUGACAAACCGGAGGAAGGUGGGGAUGACGUCAAAUCAUCAUGCCCCUUAUGAUUUGGGCUACACACGUGCUACAAUGGACAAUACAAAGGGCAGCGAAACCGCGAGGUCAAGCAAAUCCCAUAAAGUUGUUCUCAGUUCGGAUUGUAGUCUGCAACUCGACUACAUGAAGCUGGAAUCGCUAGUAAUCGUAGAUCAGCAUGCUACGGUGAAUACGUUCCCGGGUCU
rnacentral:rRNA from 1 species